AUGUCUUUUAGAAAUUAAUUGAAAGUCUAGCCUGCCCACUGAAAUUUUUUAAAUGGCCGCAGUAUCCUAACUGUGCAAAGGUAGCAUAAUCAUUAGUCUUUUAAUUGAAGGCUGGAAUGAAGGGUUGAAUGAAAUAUUAACUGUUUCAUAAAAAUUUAUAAUAGAAUUUUAUCUUUUAGUCAAAAAGCUAAAAUAUAAUUAAAAGACGAGAAGACCCUAUAAAUCUUUAUAUUUUAAAAAUUAUAACUAUAUAGAUAAAUUGAAUUUUAAUUUUCAAAAAUAUUUUAUUGGGGUGAUAUUAAAAUUUAAUAAACUUUUAAUUUAUUAUAAACGUAAAUUAAUGAAUUUUUGAUCCAUUUAUUAUGAUUAAAAAAUUAAGUUACUUUAGGGAUAACAGCGUAAUUUUUUUAGAGAGUUCAUAUUGAUAAAAAAGAUUGCGACCUCGAUGUUGGAUUAAGAUAUAGUUUUAGGUGUAGCAGCUUAAACUUAAAGUCUGUUCGACUUUUAAAUUCUUACAUGA
rnacentral:rRNA from 1 species